UACAGAGGUCUCAAGCGUUGUUCGGAUUCAUUGGGCGUAAAGGGUGCGUAGGCGGCGCGGUAAGUCGGGUGUGAAAUCUCGGGGCUUAACUCCGAAACUGCAUUCGAUACUGCCGUGAUUGAGGACUGGAGAGGAGACUGGAAUUUACGGUGUAGCGGUGAAAUGCGUAGAUAUCAGGAAGAACACCCGUGGCGAAGGCGGCUCUCUGGAACGCAACUGACGCUGAGACGCGAAAGCGUGGGGAGCAAACAGG
rnacentral:rRNA from 1 species